CUCGGUAACAGUCACAUCGUUCUCGGAAACAAGCUGAUCAGGAGUUGAUUUUGGCCUAGCACGGUCGUGCCACUGUUUGGCACGGUAGUGCUCCCCUGAAUUUUGACGAUUUGGCUGAUAGAUGCUAGUGCUGGCUGAGAGUGCCGAUGUCGGAAGGCUUGGCACGGUCGUGCCACUGUUUGGCACGGUAGUGCCAUAUCUGGCAGUUUGCUGGAAUGCACCAUUUUAGCUCUAUUUUGCUCCAAAAGCUUCCGUUUCAUCACCGGGCCGAAGCCCGGACCUGUA